rnacentral:lncRNA from 1 species
AAGGGUACAGCACCAGGGCAUGUAAGAUCUUAACAUUGGCUUGUAUUAAUUUUUCAUAAUUAUUUAAGAGAAUUGAUGCUCGAUAAGCAAAAGUCGUAACUCUAUGUGGAAUGAAAGUAUGCUAUAUUCAAUUUUUUUUCAAAAAAAAAUUAGACAAAAUAUAAUUAUUUUCAUUCAACAAAUGAAAUAUAGAAGAAUCAAUAAUAAGAUAAAAAAGUAUAUAAAAAGAUCUAUCACAAAAAUAUGG